UCUAUGAUUAACCAUUGGAAGAACUGACCUAGGGGCGUGGUGGAUUCUCCAUCACUUGAAAUCUGUAUGCAGCGGUAGGUUAAGGCACACUCAGAACUUUUAGUACACAGUAGCAUGGUCCAACAUGACGACUUAGUGCUCAGCAGACUACAGCGCUGUAGGCUACUUUAGCCGCAUACUCACUGUCCAUAUAGACAAGCCCGUAUACCAUAAGGUUGUUGGGCCAAGGAGCAUCUCUUUCUUAUCUGUGUGAACUGGGCCUAACGCAACAGGGCCAUGACUGGAGCUCCUCGGCUCUAAUGCAAUGCACGUAAUAAUAAUAACGAGGCAUUUUGGAAUGUGAGAUGGUGCCAUAAAACAAUAACAAAAGGGUGGGAGACGACAACAGAGUAGGCUCCAUUCAUUAAAGCAGAUGGACGUGGCUGGAGGUUAAGAAUCAUGGCUUUUCCUUCAGGCAGUGGCUGUUUCACCGAGGUUUGAAGUCACUCUCAAAAGCCUCAGGGUGGCCACCCUGUCUUUUUUCCUUCAGUCUUGAUCUGUUGGACUCUCUUACCCACACAGCUGUCAGAACUGCUCUUCACAGGACCAAAACAUCUGAGCCUGCACUCCCUCAUUUUUUCGUUUAUGGGUGUGCCGCUGAGCACGUCUCUAACAUACACGUGCCUCCUGUAGUUGUUCUCGCUUACACCGCUCAUCCAUUUCAACAUUUGCAUUUCUGCAGACAGAUUGUCUGCUGCCCACCACUCAGCCCCAUGAUGCAUUACAGGUUUUAUUACCAGCUCAGCCACUGGCCUGCUGGGUGUCCACAGGCAAAUCAUGGCCAUUCGGUUCCUCAGUUUCCCCAUCUAUAAAAUGGGGAUAAUGAUAUUGACCUUCUCUGUAAAGUGUUUUGCUAUCUAUGGGAGAAAAGUGCUAGAGAAGAGCUAGGGGUUAUUUAUGUAUUAUAUGAGCCCUAGCCCUCCUUUUUUAUAGAUAUAGUGGUGUUCUCUAGGUAGACACAAAACGUGACUUCCCUUUAUUUAAGAAAAAUCCAUUAUAAAACAGUAAUUUUCUUUUCCCCCACCUCCUCCUUUCUUUUCUUUUUGGUGACUGGGAAGUAUUUUUCCAUGUGUUUAUGGGUUUGGUCUCUACUGCCCCUCUCUGGGAACAUUUUAAAAUGCACCAAGUGUACAAAGAGAGAAACUAUUUUUUCUCUUUCGGACCAUACAGCUGCUCCUGCUCGUGCUACUGCUUUGCGUGCUGGAUGCAAUGCUCUAGCCGCUUCUUUCCACCACAGUCUUGACACUACCGUCUCCAUCCAAACAGCCGGUAACCCACCAUUCCUGCUAUGUGACCAUCCAGGAUCUGAUUCCACAGCCCUUACUCGUGUGCGUAGUCCCAUUAAAACCAGCGGGGCGAUUCACAUGAACGAGAGAUGCAGGGUUGUGCCGUGCGUGCACAGCAGCACUUCUGAUGUCCCUUCACUGAGCUUCCCAUUACCUCUCCCAGAAAGAGAAGCCAGUGGCUGCAACUGGCCGAUAAUCCUUGUGUUGCUCCUAGGACUGCAAAGUGAAUACACUAAAAAGAUGCAAACCCCACUAUUGACACUGAAGAGGCUGCAGUGUCCCAGCCUCAACACAAUGAAGCCUAUGUGUGCUGGAGGGCUGCUUUUACAUGGGUGUGAUUCCAUCGGGGGUCACACCAGUUUAAAACCGGAGUAACACACUGAUGAAUUAGGCCCAUCAUUUUUAAGUUUCAGCGUGGCAGCCGUGUUAGUCUGUAUCAGCAAAAACAACGAGGAGUCCUUAUGGCACCUUAGAGACUAACGAAUUUAUUUGGGCAUAAGCUUUCAUGGGCUAGAACCCACUUCAUCAGAUGCAUGGAGUGGAAAAUACGGGAGCAGGUAUAAAUACAUGAACAGAUGUGAGUUGCCUGACCAAGCUGUACCAAUAGGCUCAAAAGAAAAAAGGCUCCAAGGGAGAACUAGCUUGACGUUUCCAGCUGCAGUCGGAGACUUAAAAGCCACGGGUUGGAGUUUAAAUCGCAUUGAUGGGAAUUAACAUCCUGAGCACUGGGAGUUUUGAAGCCCUAUGAUUUCCCUGAGCAGAAGACAAGGCGUCCGACUCUGAAAACGAUGCCGCCAGAAAUACUGGAAGCGCUAAGUUACUGCUUCUUCGCUAUCUGAAAACAUGCCCGUUCUGCAAACAUCGCUUCUGAGCUCUUCAGAGGCAAGCUCAAUGCUUUAUUCAUCAGCUGGGCCUAUGGAACCUCAGAGAGAAUAAAUGAGGUCAGAUGAACGCUGAGCUGCAGCUAGUCUGCUGAGAAGCAAAUUAAGUGUUGCUGGCAUGUUCUGAUAGCUGAUUUUAGACGGGAUACACUUCCCUACCUUUGCCAUUCAUUUUUUGUAUCAGAAAGGCUGCCAAAACUUAGGUGAACUAUUCAGUUCCAUUAGAAUAAUACUUGUCUCUUCAGCCACUUUCAGGUGAGGAUCUCAGAGCCCUUGCCAGCCCCCGCAUGAGCUAUAGUAGGUCUGUAUUAUAUCCCUCAUUUUACAGAUGGAAUAACUGAGGCACAGACAGGCUAUAUGACUUAUGCAAGGUGUCACAGUAGGUCAGUAGCAGAGCCAGAAACAAAAGUCCCCGAUUUCCUGACUUGAGAGCCUCUGCUCUCACCAUUAGACAGCACUCCUUCCUUUACAGGAAGGAUCAUUAAUCCUUUCCAAAUUGGAAAAAGGUUUCUUCCUGUGUAAUCAGGAAGUCAAAUAAGACCAUCAAACAACAGCCCUAAGUUGUUGAGGGCCAAAUUCUGAUACCCUGACUCCAGUGCUUAAUUUGCGCCAGGGCUGAGUCCCGGCAUCUCUAGGUGUGGCAGUUCAUAGCCCCAGCACCCCUGGGCUUGCUGCGGCAGUUAUGAAUGUAAAAAAAAUUGGUUGACCCUGACCCCUAACAGCCUCAAUUUCAUUACAAAUUAAGCAGUGCCUUACCCACACUGAAUGGGACUUUACUCCAGGAGUAACUGAGUGACUUCAAUAGGAUUAUUCAAGGAGGAAGGUACCUAACUCAUUGUGAGCAACGCCAUCAGAAUCUAGCCCUGAAUUUGUAAUCCGGCAAUAUUUACUGUAUCAAAAAAUGCCAUAAAUAUCUGCCAGGUUCACUUUCUUUAUAAAACCACUGCAGAGUAACCAAGGGAGUUAAAUAAUCGGAGAAAGACUAAGCUAAAAGAAGAAAGUCCUGGUUGUAGUAGCUAUAAAGUCAUCUUCCAGCUGAGAUGGGUAUGGUGCAGUGCAUUGUAACAGUGACACCUCCUGGCUAACUCUCGCUACAGCUCCUGCUUCCACACGAGCACAAGCCUGGUUCAUUCCGUUUCAUCCUUCCAAAGUGCAAGCCUCUGGCUCCAUCCCCACAGCAUGACUUUGCAAAGAGCAGGUGCCAUUUGCUUGCAUUGCUUCUCAAGAGCAGAAGAUGCAGUUAGAGGUGUCCUCUUCCUUAAACAUGUCAACUUCUGCCUGGCUCCUACGUGGAAUGCUGCCUCUGCUCACUGGUCAUUUAUUGAGGGGGACAUUUCCCUCUUAAAGUGGUGGCUUUUCUCACAUCCUGGAUCUUAUUCUCAUACUCUACAUUCUUUAUUCAUUAAUGAUUAUUGUUACUAUCUAAUAUUAUGUAACAUCUAGAGGCCUCAGCCAGGUUGGGGUCCAAUUGUGCUAGGCACUGCACAAACAUACAGUAAAUGACCGUUCUUUCCCCAAAGAGUUUACAAGCUAAGGCCCUGAUCCUAUAACUUCUACAUGGACAUACUACAGCCCCCGCAUUCAGUCGCAUUGGUUUCAAUAGGGCUCCACAUACAUGAAUCAGGCAGCCUCCAUCCAAGAAAUUGCAGCCUCAGAAUGUCAACGACAAGACAUAACAGGUGGAUGAGACAAACAAGCGGGGAGGAGGAAGGAGAGCAAGGUAACAAAAGAAAAGCACAAUAAUAGGUUGGGUCUUCUCUUAAGCCUACAUGCAUGCAGCAUGUAGUAUGUGACUGUCGAAGCCUGAAGAAGAACCAGCUGUAUUUAUCAAGUGCUAUGAGAUACAUACUGUAGGGUUACCAUAUUUCCACAAUCAAAAAAAGAGGACACUGGGGGGGGGAGCCCUGCCCUGCCCUAGCCCCACCCCGCCCAAUCCACUCCCUCCCACUUCCCACCCCCUGA